UUGUGGGGUGGGGGGAGGGGGGAGGGAUAGUAUUAGGAGAUAUACCUAACUCUAAAUGACGAGUUAAUGGGUGCAGCACACCAGCAUGGCACAUGCACCAGAAUAACAAAGCUGUUCUUAUUUUCUGUAUUCCUAGUUUGUAUUUUUAUUUGUAAUUUAUUGAAAUAGAACCCCCAAUACUACUCUCUUAUUAGAGGAAUAUCAAGUUGAGAGCACAAACAGUCCCCCACAUUAAUAUGACUUCUGGGGACUGCCAAGCCUUCUAUGGUCUGUCAUCUGCUCAAAUUUCAAGCACCAUCUCUUUUUAUUUAUUAAUUUUAUUUUAUAUUUCGGGGUACAGGCACAGGGUGUGCAGAUUUGUUACAUAAAUAAACUUGUGCCAUGGUAGUUUGCUGCACAGAUCAACCCAUCACCUAGGUAUUAAGCCCAGCAUACAUUAGCUAUUAUUCCUGAUGCUCUCCCUCCCCCAAACUCCCUUUUCACCGCUGACAGGUGCCAGAGUGUGUUGUUCCCAUUUCUGUGUCUAUGUGUUCACAUUGCUUAGCUCUCACUUAUAAGUGAGAACACGCAGUGUUCAGUUUUCUAUUCCUUUGUUAGUGUGCUGAGGAUAAUGGCUUCUAGCUCCAUCCAGGUCCCUGCAAAGGAUAUGAUCUUGUUCUUUUUUAUUGUUGCAUAGUAUUCCAUGGUGUAUAUAUACCACAUUUUCUUUAUCCAAUCUAUCAUUAAUGGUCAAUAGCCAUCUCUUACCUUUGCCCCAUAUGCUGUCUUAGCUGCAUCUAUAUUGGACUCCAUAUAGUUACUGGCAGGUGACAUCUUUUUUCCCCAUGUCUACCUGCUUUUGAUUAAGCUGUUUUUCUUUUAAUACAUCCUUCCCUGUUUGUUGUCUACUUACCUUUCAAUAUUUAGCUGACACAUCACCUCUGACACAAACUUUCCCUAGUUAGUUACCAAAGUUUUCUCUUCCAUUUUUUCAUUUGCAAAGUUAGAAUGAUCAGGGUAUCAUGACACUAAUGUCUUGUUAGAAUUAAAUAAAUUAAAUGAGACAACACAGGGUCAGCACUUCAGUGCCUGACAUAUGGCACUUAAUACAUGUUGGCUGCUUUACUAAUAAUUAUGUAAGAUACGGGGGUCUUUAUUACAAUUUUUAUGAAAGUCAUUUGAGCUCAGUAAUACCACUAUUCAAAAGCAAAAUCAUGAUGAAUAUCUGAAUGUAACAGUACACAGUUAACAAUCUGAUCACUCGGUAAUCUAUUGCAUUAUUUUCCGUAGACUGUUGCAAAUGUCAUGUUUCCAAAAGAAGAGGGAAUUGGGACAAAUGUCGUUUCAAAAUCUUCCCCCUACUUGCUAUUUUAUAAUUUCCGUGAAACCGUUUACAAAUAUUUUCUUUACGGGCAGUUAGGGCAAAUCACUGCUUCACAUCUGGAAUUUUAGGGUAAGGAACAACUCCAGCUUCCAGUGGUCUCCCUUGAAGGGAGAGAAAGGUGAGAUGCAGAGAGUUAAGUGAGCUGCCCAGUGACACCCCAUGAGAAUCAGACGCAGGCUUUCUGCUCCGGCUGCCCUUACACCACCGUGGUGUUCACAGCUUCGUCUGUGCGUGGAAGCUCAUGGAAUCUCUCCUGUUCCCCUAGUCUAAGAGUCCUGGUAGUCUUUUAGACUUUUUUUUUUCUUUUUUGUCACAGAGUCUCUCUCUGCCAUCCAGGCUUGAGUGCAGUGACGCCAUCUUGGCUCACUGCAACCUCCGCCUCCCAGGUUUAAGCGAUUCUCUUGCCCCAGCCUCCCGAGUAGCUGGGAUUAGAGGCACCCGCCACCAUGUCCAGCUAAUUUUGUAUUUUUAGUAGAGAUGGAGUUUUGCCGUGUUGGCCAGGCUGGUCUCGAACUCCUGACGUCAGGUGAUCCACCCACCUUGGCCUCCCAAAGCGCUGGGAUUAUAGGCGUGAGCCACAGUGCCUGGCCAGUCUUUUAGAGUCUAAAGAGUGAAAGUUGCAUGCAUCAGGUUGCUAUCCCAGCUGUGCUGUUGUUUUGAUAUUUGGUGCCGUAAUGAGCUCUGCUUUAUGGCUGCCAGUACACACCUCUGAUUGUGCCAUUGUUUAUGUUUGCUGUGGGUGCUUUGUUUACGUGUUAAGGCCCAUGGUACCUUAGGCUUGCCAUAUGAUACUCUUCUAGCAUCUUAGGCAUGUAAAAAUGCUGUUCUCAUUAGUGGGAUUUCAGAAACAAUCUUAGAACACUUUAAAAUGAAACCUAUUAUGGACGAACUUUAAGCAAGAAUAAAGCAUCUAUGCUAAUGGUAAUUUUUGUAAUGUGAUUUUUUAGGUUAAAUAUACUGUCCAUGCAUUACUUAGUUUUAGGAUGAACAUAGCAUUUAACUUUGAUUAAAUACGAAGUAGAUGAGAAUUUAAACCAGUGGAACUCAAUUAUUGGACUGAUUAAGCAAGAAAUAUAUAUUAUCUAUUUUAAUCUGCUUAAUUACUGAAACAAGUUUUUCUUUUAAAAUUACUCUAUUAGUCCAAAGAACAAAAUCAAUGUAUAUUCAAUUCAUAUUAAUUAUACAACAAACGCAAAGUCGAGUCAGGUUUAGCACAGUCCAGUACUGUGAUUUUCUUAUUGGUAAAUUGAAAAUUCAUUUACUAAAAGCAAAAAGAGUGCUUUGACUACAUUUAAAAUCAGCAUGAAUGCUAAAAUUUAAAUGUCAAACCAA
rnacentral:lncRNA from 10 species